UCCGGGUCUUUAGCUUAUUUUAUUCUGCAUGUGAAGAUGAGGUCUGGAAGCUCCAUUUACCCACAAUACAUUGCUGCAUACAAUAAACCACGUUGUUGAUAAACAUUAACAUAUACACUACAGGCCAAAAGUUUAGAAGCAAGAUCAGGUUUGUACAAAAAAAGAUCAUAGUUUCAUAUUUAUAAUUUGCAACACAAUAAACAUGACUAUUGUGUAAAGAGUAACUUAUCAGAAGAUAUUUUGACUAUAAUUAUUAGGUAUUUGAGUUAUUGAUGCUUAUUUGCUUUCUUUAAAGUACCCUCCUCUGGCUUUAACAACAGCUUGUUAUAUACCAGGCAUUUGUUCCACAAGUUUUUUAAGGUAUGUUCCAGGGAUUGCAUUCCAACCUUCUUGGGACGCGUUUUUCUGACCGAUCGAUCCAAUUCAUCCCACACAAGCUCAAUUGGAGAAAGGUCUGGAGACUGAGGGGGCCAAACCAUCUUUUGAAGAACACCUGCCUCUUCUUUUUUGUCUCGGUAACCCUGACAGAGCUUGGCAGAGUGCUUAGGGUCAUUGUCUUGCUGCAAAACAAACUUAUAACCCACAAGUCUGAGUCCAGAUGGAGCAGCAUGGUGCUGGAGGAUGGAGUGGUACUGUUCCUUCUUCAUGAUACCCUUUACUUCAAACAAAUCUCCUACUCCAUCACCUGCAAAACAUCCCCAUACCAUGGAACUACCACCUCCAUGCUGAAUUGUGGGUGUAACACAUGGUGCUUUCAGACGUUCAUCAGUUUGUCUGCGGACAUAGACUCUGCGUUUUGAACCAAACAGUUCAAACUUGCUUUCAUUGGUCAAGAGAACUUGUUUCUAGUCAUCAUAGGUCCAAUUUUUCUGAGCUUUUGCCCACUCAUAUCUCUUUCUUGUUCUGUGGACGAAGUACUGUUUUUUUUUUGCAGAUACACAACCCUUCAGACCAGCCUUUCUCAAACGUCAUUUCACGGUUGUCAGAGAUAUGGGUUUCGACCUUAUCAUGUUGAUUUUCUCCCUUAUUUGUGGUGCUGUUUUUCGCCAAUCUCUCUUACAGAUGACAAUGCUCUGUUUAUCCUCUGCUUUUGUAGUAACUCUCUUUCGUCUAGGCCUUUUUCUAUCAUCAUAACUUCCAGGUUCCUCUAGUCUCUUCAGAGUGUAGUGGACUCCUUCUUUCUGUGUAUCCUUCUUUCCUCAAUGUACAAAUCUGUAAUUUUUAUUUCUUUACUCAGUUGCUUCUUUCUAGCCAUUUUUGCGGUAGUUUGAACGCAGCUGAGAUUCAUUAGGAUUUUUGUAUGCAGACUCAAAAGCCAAAAAGUUGAAGUGAAUAAUCCAACUGUGAUUUGUUUAUUUGCUUUUGCACUGAAGUUGUGACUCUUGCAAAUGUUUUCAACCCUAAAACUAAGCCCUUAUUUUCUUUUGCUGACAUAUAUUUAGCAAUGGUCUGUUAACAUCAAUGUAUAUCUAAAGAUAAAUGGAGUAAAAUGGUGCAUUUUCAUGAAAGCAACAUCUGAUCAUGGAGUAAAUACAUCCCAAAAUACAUAAAACUCAUGCUGGAUUUUAAAAAAAGCAUUGUGAACAAAAACUUGAAGUUACUCCCAACUGCUCGGCCUGUAAUGGGCUUGCUUCCAAACUUUUGGCCUGUAGUGUAAAUCUCAGUUAAGAAACAAAGUGAGUGUUAAAAGACGCUGUGAGUCGGUGUUCACAGUGAAACAUAAAGUUAAAAACAUCAUAAAGAGUCCAAACAGUGUCGGCAUUCUUCUCCAAAAAAUCACAAAUGUGCAAAAACAUCAAACUGCAGAAAAUUCACAGAUGGAGACGAAGAAAAAGAAAGAGGAAAUAUGAAAGAAAGCAGCCAAUCAUCAGUUUAUUUAUCACCCAUAAGAGUUUCUCUGAAAAAAAGUUAAAAUGAUCAUUUUUCUGUUUCACCUCCUCUCUCAUCUUUUAACUUCAUCCUGUCUGAUUAAUAAAGCGUUUAUUUAUAACAGAGUGACGGACAAACAAGGAUUAAAGACACAUUAAGAAAGAAAAUCAAUACUAAGAUUUUCAGACUUACGUCCUGAUUUAAUGAAAAUAAUAUCGGUUUCCGAUCCAACUCUUUAAAUCUGAAGUUUGAUGAUUUAUGAUAAAUCUGAAGGAAACAUUUUAGCUUUUGUAUCCCUUUAAUGCCUUUUGUAUCAUAUUUGAAACAUACUUUUAUAAUACUUCUAUCAAAUCAAUAUGAUCACCAAAUUACUAAAAAAACACCUGAAUACAGUCCGAUAAAUGAUGAAAAUGUCCUCUAGUGGUUUAUCAGUUUCCAAAAACAUUUAAUGUAUCAAACGAGAUAAAUAAAUAUAUUUGUUAAAGUCUAAGGACAUUUAGAUUUUUUGGUUUUCAGUAGUAAGGGAAAUAAACAUUUCAGCUCCAAAAAAAAGUGAAUUUUCUGUCCAUAAUUUGUUGUUUCAGGCAUUAAAGGGCUAAAAUGAUAAUAACAUUUUACAUUUAGCCGCUUUUAUUCUGAUCAGUAACUCAUAAUCUAUCCGAAGUAAUGUUAUUCUUUCCUUCAAAAUAAAAGCUCUUAUUACAUGGGAAAUAAUGCAACCUAAAUGCAAAGUAGUAAAACCGUCAGGAUUUAAUGAGUGAUGAUUAUUGAGUAAUAUGUCUGUUUAAGUUUUCUGUAGCUGUGAGGAGAAACUCCGAUAAAGUAUGACGGCCCGGCUGUGGCCCCACAGCUGAUACUUAAACGGGGUCAGACUUUAAAAAAUGACGAUUUCAACUUUGAGUGUUUCUGUGGUGACUUGGUGUAAAUUCGAGUCAUUUCGAGUCUUUACGCUUUAACUUGAGUUAACUUGCGCUCAGUAACUUGGUGAUAAAAUAAAACGUGAGGAAAGUUUGUUUUUAGCUGAGAAGUCAGAGCGCCAUUAGCGUAGAGGAGAACUAAAAAGAGUCAAAGUUUGUUCGUCAGAGCGGAAACAAAGUUUUUACACUUAACUGAUUUUUAAGAAGCGUCACUUGAUAAAAUAUAUCGGCAUUAUUGGAUCGGCAUUUUUAUAGUUUAGAUGCUCCAACUCUGUUAACUCGAUAUCACCGCUCAGAGAAAAUAACGAUGGUGGUAAGAAUUUUUUUGAAUUCUGAAAAUGUUUAAAUACUUUCCUGCAGACAUCGUUACUGAAAACACGACAGCGUUUAUCGAACACAGUUGACAUGUCUGAUCAUUCACUCUGAACCUGCAGCUGUGAGUCCUGAUCCAAUCACAAUGAGAGCGGAUGGAUUCUGAUUUUAGGAUUUGUUGGAUGACUCUGUGAGAUGAGACAAACUGACUCUGUCAAAGUUUUUGCUGUUCUAAAGUUAAAAAACAUUUAAAAUAUAAACUAAACCGUGAACACAGUGUAAACUGGAUCACUCCGUUUCAAACAUGCGUCAGCUCUGUGGUCACAUGUCUGUCAGGAUUCCAGUUCACUUUUUGCCCAAAUAAAGAAAAUCCAAGUUCGGAGCCGCUUUCACUGAAACAACGUUUUUAAAGGAGUGACACAAAGUUUAUUUUGGUACGGCUGUUUUUGCAUUUUUUACAUCAGCUGGUGCAAAGUGGCGUUGGUACGUAUUUCUGCAUUAAUGUCAGUGUCACAGCUUCUUAACCUAAAGUCUGAACAAACACAUAAAUGUUUGAAUGUCUGAGGCUCUAAUUCUAUAAUAAUCUGUCUUUCUGCCUCUGCUCAGAUACUGAAACGCACAGAUCUAAAUCGGGAUCAUCAAACUAGAUCCAACAGUCUCUGCAGAAGGGGACCUCAGCGUGGUCCACACUCCUGCAGACUUGGUCUGGAUCUAAAACCUGACAUAAUGAGGCUGCUCCUGCUUUCCUCCCUUUUUUUAGAGCCUCACGUUUCUCCAACUUAAAUAUUUUAUCUCAAAGAAAAUCUGGGGCUGAGUCCCGGUGUGAAGAAAACCACUUAGUGCACAAAGAGAACAUGCUUUUUAUCCUGUAACAGACAAACCAACACAGAGGAAACUCGAACUCCAGCAUGAGUCCGGUCUUUUGUUUGGAUCAAAACGUCUAAUUAGGUCUUCAUUAGAACCGCAGUCACCUGACAGGUCCCGAAAACGUCUUUUUUAACACAUCACAUGUCAAAACUAAGACCUGGAUCUCGAAUCGGAGGUUUUCUGGACUUAUCAGGUGAAAUUGGUGUAAAUGAAACCUUUACCCCCAAUUUUCAUCUGGAACAGCUCCGAUCCGAAACAGCAGGGAUUUUCGCCAUCCGUCAAUUCCUACCGGAUCCGUUGGUGAGGCGAAUUUCGUGGCGGAUUACAGACAGCUAGAAUCCCAAGAAUUUACAAGAACUCUAUAUAAAGACAGACACAUAGACAUAUAAGCAGCAGAUUGUGUCCUUCCAGAGGAGGAAAUCUACUUCUAGACUUCUAGAAUCAGCAUCUCCUCAUCCAUGGUGCCAUCGGGGUGAAAUGACGUCUAAAAACAUUUCAUGUGUUUUAUUUUGAGGACACGACCUUUUAGUAGACGUUCAGGAUGUGGUGGAAAUUGGGGGUAACACUCUUUUCGAAAGGAUAACUUUGUUGAAAGUUGUCCUUUCAGCGAAGAACUAGAAAUCAUAGAUGCUGCAUCCUCAGUUUUAAACAAGAUCUCCACGUUUAGGAGAAACAUCUGCGUCCAUCCACACCAGGACUUUUUCAGGGAAGACCUUCAUAUGAUUCCAAACCAGAUUCUGACAACAGCAUGGACAACAGAGGAACAGAAGGAAGCUGGUGGAAAUCGACACGUUAAGUUGAAUAGUUACGAUCCGCUACAAUCUGCGCAGACAGACUUUUUCAGGAUGCGGUGGAAACUGGGGGUUAGAGGCUUUGACCAGGAAUACAACCAAAACUCUUUUCUAGGAUUCGAGUUUUUACAGUGAAAAAGAGUUAAAGAAGACAUUUUCAAACAUUAUUGCUUUUUCUCAGCUCCCUGAUUUUUGUUGUUCAAAAACUCACUGAAGGUUUAAAAAGUCAAAGAAACGACAGAAAUCAGCAGGAGACUUUAGACGACAUCUAAUCAACGACCAACGAGUGAAGAAAAGACAAAAUAUCAUCAUCAGCGUAUAAAGAAUCUCAAUAAUCAGUGUCAAAGUUCAACGUCUGUUUUAGUGCAUCAUCAUCGUUUCAAAAAAGACUUCAGACACGAAGCAGCUGAAGCUCUCCGUCAUAGAAACAUCGACAUCAUCAAAAAUCUCCAGAGGAAGACCUGGUCUGAGGAAAAACUCCUUAGAGGACUUUCUCCUUGAACAGCAGAAAGAGAGGAAAAGAAAAACGUGCAGCACCAUCAGAGAGAGAAAGGAAGAGAGAGCGAGAGAGAAGGAAGGAAAGAGAGACAAAAAACAGGAGGAGCUCCUCUUAAAAACGAAUAUGAUUAAACACGUCUGUCACAUAAACAGAGACUCAUAGGAGGAAGGAGGAGGCGUGUCGCUCAGAUCAGAGUGCAGGAGGAGGAUUACGGUCAGUAAACCUCGGGGGGGGGUGUUUCGCUGGUUUCAGAAUUAUCGUCUUCCUGUGCGUCGCUCGUACCUGGAUUGAAAGAUUCUAGAAAAAAAGGUUGAUGUUUGUCGUCCUGAAGACAAGUGAGCUACUU